rnacentral:lncRNA from 1 species
CUCGAUGCAACUGAACCACUGUGAUCAGUCAAGAACAAUUAACGUCGGUAGCAUGCCCGCAAUCUACAAUGGUGGAAGACCUAUAGACUUAAUAUUUGUGAGGAGAUUUAAGUUUAAGUCUCAUCUAAUCAGUCAUCAUAUGACCAAUCUAACUGACAUGGGCUAAACCAGAUUACUAAAUAACCUAAUUCAAGACCCAAUCUUCCAAAUUGGCUAGGUAAGUGG